GUGGGUGGUGUAGAGGAGGUGUAGUGAUGUAGGGGAGGAGGUGUAUGGGAGGUGUAGGUGGAAGGUGGUGGUGUAGAGGAGGUGUAGUGAUGUAGGGGAGGAGGUGUAUGGGAGGUGUAGGUGGAAGGUGGUGGUGUAGAGGAGGUGUAGUGAUGUAGGGGAGGAGGUGUAGUCGUGGGAUGUGAACAGAGUGUCAGAGGAGGAGAUUUUAUUCGAGCAGCACUUUUAUAAACUGAUGAAAUCGCUCGGAG